rnacentral:rRNA from 1 species
CCUACGGGGGGCAGCAGUGAGGAAUAUUGGUCAAUGGUCGGGAGACUGAACCAGCCAAGCCGCGUGAGGGAGGAAGGUACAGAGUAUCGUAAACCUCUUUUGUCAGGGAACAAAGGCGGGGACGUGUCCCCGGAUGAGUGUACCUGAAGAAAAAGCAUCGGCUAACUCCAUGCCAGCAGCCGCGGUAAUACGGAGGAUGCGAGCGUUAUCCGGAUUUAGUGGGUUUAAAGGGUGCGCAGGCGGUCUGUUAAGUCAGCGGUCAAAGCCCGGGGCUCAACCCCGGCCCGCCGUUGAAACUGGCAGUCUCGAGUUGGAGAGAAGUAUGCUGAAUGCGCUGUGUAGCGGUGAAAUGCAUAGAUAUCGCGCAGAACUCCGAUUGCGAAGGCAGCAUGCCGGCUCCACACUGACGCUGAGGCACGAAAGCGUGGGUAUCGAACAGGAUUAGAUACCCCUGUAGUC